UACAGAGACUGCGAGCGUUAUUCGGAUUCACUGGGCGUAAAGGGUGCGCAGGCGGCCGUGUGUGUGAGGCGUGAAAGCCCGGGGCUCAACCCCGGGUCGGCCGUGGCAACUGUCGAGCUGGAGCACUGUAGAGGCAGGUGGAAUUCCGGGUGUAGCGGUGGAAUGCGUAGAGAUCCGGAAGAACACCGGUGGCGAAGGCGGCCUGCUGGGCAGUGGCUGACGCUGAGGCGCGACAGCGUGGGGAGCAAACAGG
rnacentral:rRNA from 1 species